AGUAAUGUAGCUUAAUGAUAGAGCACAUAUCUAACAUGCAUGAGGCCCUGGGUUCAAUCCCUAGCCCUGCAA
rnacentral:tRNA from 1 species